rnacentral:rRNA from 1 species
CUGGGAAUAUUGCGCAAUGGGCGAAAGCCUGACGCAGCGACACCGCGUGUGGGAAGAAGGCCUUCGGGUUGUAAACCACUGUGGCGAGGGAUGAUAAUGACAGUACCUCGCUAGAAAGCACCUGCUAACCACGUGCCAGAAGCCUCGGUAAUACGUGGGGUGCAAGCGUUAUCCGGAUUUAUUGGGCGUAAAGGGUCCGUCGGUGAUUUGGUAAGUCUCUUGUUCAAAACCAGGCUCAACUUUGGGAAUGCGGGAGAAACUACCAGAAUUGAGUGUGUUAGGGGAAGCUGGAAUUCUCGGUGGAGGGGUGAAAUCCGUAGAGAUCGAGAGGAACGCCAAGCGCGAAGGCAGGCUUCUAAGACAUUACUGACACUCAUGGACGAAAGCUAGGGUAGCAAAAGGGAUUAGAGACCCCUGUAGUCCUAGCCGUAAACUUUCCUUGCUAGCUGGUCUGGUUUUCCGGGCUGGCGUAAGCUAACGCGUUAAGCAAGGCGCCU